AAAACAAACAAACAAACAAACAAAAACAAAACACCCAAGAAAAACACAAAAACAAAACAAAACACCCCCAAAAACACCGAGAAAAAACACAAAAACAAAACAAAACACCCAAGAAACACACACACCAAAAAACACCACCAAACAUCAUCAUCAUCAUCAUCAUCUCCGUUUGUCGCUUAAUUAACCCGUUUUGAAAUGAUCCGACAGCAAAAAUUUCCAUAUUCUUUAUUACUGGAAAAAAACACAAAUUGGUUUAUAUAUAAGUGUAUAGUUUUAACAAGACUCUGAGAACACAGGGAGAGAGAGAGGAGGAGGAGGAGGAGGAGGAGGAGGAGGAGUGAGCAAGGGGGUUGGGGGGGGAGGCAGUUGUGGUGAGUGUGUGUGUUUGUGUGUGCGUAAAACUGAGUGUCUGUGUGUGUGUGUAUGUGCGUUUGGCUGUGUCCGUGUGUGUGUGUGUGUGUGUGUGUGUGUGUGUGUGUUGGAAGGGGGGGAAGUGAACCAUAAAGUCUGACUAGCUACCCUUAGGUCACACACACACACACACACACACACACACACACACACACACUUGCUGAUUCUAAGUGUGAGGAGGAGGUGUAGGAAGAGGAAGAAGAGGAGGAGGAGGAUUAGGAUUAGACUAGUCAGCCCUUUGAAAAGAUUAGGAUCAGAACUCCCCAAUCUGUACGCACCGACCCUGUUAGUACGGCAUCUUAAGGAAAUAGAUUGUGUCGGGAAAUUGGGAUGCGGUCAUUUAUCGACAAAAGUGACAGCGAUUAAAAAAAAAAAGAAUUAUGUGUUGUUGAAAGUGUAUUGUCAAAACAGUGAAUUAGAUCAACGUUUCUUCAAGAAUUAGAAAGUGAAUUUGUUUUGUCUUUUGACGAAUUCAAUGAUUCUUUUCUUUUCUUACAAACAGGUCAUUUAAUAAUUAGGUGUAUAGUUUUAUAAUUCCACCGCUUCAUAUCGGCUGUUUUGGAAUCCUUGGUUACGAUAAUUGAUUCCUUUCUCUCUUUCGACUUCUCAAAUCACCGUAAAUAAGCAGAAAGUUUUAAUUAUGGCAAUACUCUCUCUUUCCACCUCAUCCCAAUUUCCCGACACAAUCUUUUCCCAACCCCAAACACAAACAUAGAAACAAACAAACACUCGGUCGGUGGGUCAGUACGUACAAAAUCAAAGUUCCAAGCCUCACUACGUAAUGGUCGCUACGUACGUUUGGGUCUCACACGCACUCUCACGGUGACGAUAAAACACAUGGAAUUGGGGCUCUUAACAAAACUAGCCUAGGGGGGAGUGGUGUGUGUGGGUGUGGGUGUGGGUGUGUGGGGGGGGGGGCAGUGUGUACGCAGCGGACCACUCUGUAUGCAGCGGACCACUCUGUACGCAGCGGACCACUCUGUAUGCAGCGGACCACUCUGUACACGGCGGACCACUCUGUACGCAGCGGACCACUCUGUACGCAGUGGACCACUCUGUACGCGGCGGACCACUCUGUACGCAGCGGACCACUCUAUGCAUGGCGGACCACUCUGUACGCAGCGGACCACUCUGUACGCAGCGGACCACUCUGUACGCAGCGGACCACUCUGUACGCAGCGGACCACUCUGUACGCAGCGGACCACUCUGUACGCAGCGGACCACUCUGUACGCGGCGGACCACUCUGUACGCAGCGGACCACUCUGUACGCAGCGGACCACUCUGUACGCAGCGGACCACUCUGUACGCAGCGGACCACUCUGUACGCGGUGGACCACUCUGUACGCGGCGGACCACUCUGUACGCAGCGGACCACUCUGUACGCAGCGGACCACUCUGUACGCGGCGGACCACUCUGUACGCAGCGGACCACUCUGUACGCAGCGGACCACUCUGUACGCAGCGGACCACUCUGUACGCAGCGGACCACUCUGUACGCAGCGGACCACUCUGUACGCAUAGGGUGCUGUUGGGUGUUAUUGUAGAGGAAAUUUUAUAAUGUUGUUUUGUUCUUUCUUAAAAUUCAUAUGCGGUUAUUUUGAUGCCAGAUUUUUUUUUUGUUUUCUUUCUCUCCAAAAUUCACUCUUUUUUUUUUUUUUCUCCUUUUUCUCUUCCCAAAUUCACCUUUUUUUUCUCUCCUUUCCUUCACAAAAUCUACAUAUAUUUAUUUUAAUCUCUUUUUCUUCUUUUUUCCUUUCCUUUACAAAAUCUACAUAUGUUAAUUUUAAUCUCUUUUUCUUCUUUUUUCCUUUCCUUUACAAAAUCUACAUAUGUUAAUUUUAAUCUCUUUUUCUUCUUUUUUCCUUUCCUUUACAAAAUCUACAUAUGUUUAUUUUAAUCUCUUUUUCUACUUUCCUUUCUCUCCUUCCCUUUCCUUCCAGAGCAAUUAUCAUUAUUAUUAUUAUUAUUAUUAUUAUUAUUAUGGUCAUGGUGCGUACUAAAUGGGGCGCCGCUCGCUCAAACAGGGACAGCGGGUGCGUACAAAUUGGUCAGGCGCGUACAAACUGGCGCACACACUCUGUAAGCAUUUUUUCACACACACACACGCACACAAACACGCACACAAGAGAGAAUAGUUGUCAUUUGAGCUAGUAAAGUAAACACACGCUCACCACAGGCGGUUUCGGUAGAAGUAGAAGUAGUAGAAGUAGUAGUAGUAGUAGUAGUAGUAGUAGUAGUAGUAGUAAUCAAAGUUAUCAUUAUCAUUAACAUUAUCAGUAAGUAUUAUCAUCAUCGUAACAUUAUUAUUAUUACUGGUAAGAUUCUAAGCGCUCGCCCCACGGGGUAAAAUUCCCCCGUCGUUAGUGACAGUAGGGGCUGGGAGGGGGCGGGGCGGGGCUGGCGCUGGGGGCUGAGACACUCACAGGGGUCUAUAUUACCCUGGGGCCACUAAAAGUAUUCCCAAGGGGUUCUGAAUGCUCGUAAAGGACCACCAGGUACUCCCCAAGGGGCCUGUAGUACCCUGGGGCCAUUGCAUUCCCUCAGGGGUUGACGUGUUCCCCAGUAUCACCCAGGGGUUUCUCAUACCCUUAAAAUAUUCCCAAGUGGUUCUCAAUGCUUGUAAAGGACCGCCAGGUACUCCCCAGGGGCCUGUAGUACCCUGGGGCCAUUGCAUUCCCUCAGGGGUUGAUGUAUUCCCCAGUAUCACCCAGGGGUUUCAAAUUACCAAAAGUCCCUAAAAAGAUUUCUAAGGGGGGAAUGUCUCGCUCCCUCGCACCCUCUCGCGUCAAGACUCCCCCAGGGUUUGUGUUUCCCCCAGCCCCAGCCCCUGCCCCCCCUGGUCGAUACAAGGGUGGGGGCGAGGCAAGGGUCCCCCCGGCUAGUACAGUAUUUACAGUUACGUGCGGCGAUCGGCUCGGCAUGACACGGCUCCCUGCGAUCUCGGAAGGGAAUAACUGCUCAGAGAAUUGAGUUGCGGAAUGACCGAUGGAAUGUUAUUGAACCUUGGCAUCCGUGUGUGUUUUUUGUGGAAUGGGAUGCUGUUUAAUGGGAAAAUAAGCAAGAAAAUGGGUUAAAUUGUGCUCCUGUGAAAUUGGGACUUGGCGGAGAGGAUGUUAAAUUGUGAUAUAGCAUUUCUCUUUCUCUCUCCCUCUCUUUCUUUUUACAGUUUAAUGGGAAAAUAAGCAAGAAAAUGGGUUAAAUUGUGCUCCUGUGAAAUUGGGACUUGGCGGAGGAUGAAAAAUACCUUCACAUUUUUUAUUUAUGAUUUUCCAAGUGAUUUCUUUUCCUUCCCUCUCCUAACUUUCCCAUAACAAUACUUUCACAUUUUUUAUUUAUGAUUUCCCAAGUGAUUUCUUUUCCUUCCCUCUCCUAACUUUCCCAUAACAAUACUUUCACAUUUUUAUUUAUGAUUUUCCAAGUGAUUUCUUUUCCUUCCCUCUCCUAACUUUCCCAUAACAAUACUUUCACAUUUUUAUUUAUGAUUUCCCAAGUGAUUUCUUUUCCUUCCCUCUCCUAACUUUCCCAUAACAAUACUUUCACAUUUUUAUUUAUGAUUUCCCAAGUGAUUUCUUUUCCUUCCCUCUCCUAACUUUUCCAUAACAAUACUUUCACAUUUUUAUUUAUGAUUUCCCAAGUGAUUUAUUUUCCGUAAGAGAAUUCAACACUCCCUCCUACAUCUUUGGAACUUCUCAAACAAUUCCUUUUCCAACAUUUAAAUCUUUUCUUUAUAAUUUCUCAAGCGAUUCCUUUUCCAACACUUAAAUCUUUUCUUUAUAAUUUUUCAAGCGAUAUCUUUUCCGUCUCACCAAUUCUCCGAGCAACUCUCCCAUUAUCCUUUACAAUUUUCCAAGCGAUAUCUUUUCCCUCUCCUCAAAUCACCAUAGCAAAACCUUCCCUCUUUUCUUCAUAAAUUCCCAAGCGAUUUCUUUUCCCUCCUUUAUAGUUUCUUGAGUGAUAUCUUUUCUCUCUCCUCCUCUCCUCAAAUCACCAUAUCAAAACCUUCCCUCUUUUCUUCAUAAAUUCUCAAGUGAUUUCUUUUCCCUCUCCUUAAUUCACUGUAGCAAAACAUUCUAAUUUUCCUUCAUAGUUUCCAAAGUGAUUUCUUUUCCCUCUCCUCCUCUCCUCAAUUCACCAGAGCAAAACUCUCCCUUUUCUUCACAAAUUCCCAAGCGAUUUCUUUUCUGCCACGUCAAUCCUCCGCAGCGAGUCUCCCCGUCACUACGACCGCUACGAGAGAGAGAGAUGGGGGCCUGCCGUCACACCGAGCCGCCCGCCGCACCCUAGAGUGUUACCAUAUUUGUGCAGAUUGUCUACUACAAAUUGAGCCAAGCAAAGCAAGGAAAACAAAGGUACCAUAAGACUUACUUGGACAGGAAAAUUCCUCCUACGCAUACUUAAGAAUAUUGUAAUCGACACUUAGGAUGAUGAUGAUUGGGACGCUACGUACGCACACUCGGGGGAAGGUUAGAGUGGCGGGGCGCGGGUUCGGGGGCGUUGGUUUGUGCGUAUGUGUGUGUGGGGGGGGGGUAGGGUGUGGGGGUUGGUGUUACAUAUUGAAAGAAAUAAAAAAUGAAUGGAAAAAAUGAGAAAUUGUGACGUGAUUAGAUUUUUUUUUUGUCGAAAUGAAGCAAAGAAAAAAGUGUCGUUACGUAUUGAAAAAGAAAUGAAGAAUGAAUGAAAAAAAUGAGAAAUUGUGUCGUAAUUAGAUUUAUUUUGAGACGAAACGAAGCAAAGAAAAAAAUGUUGUUACGUAUUGAAAAAGAAAUGAAGAAUGAAUGAAAAAAAUGAGAAAUUGUGACGGAAUUCGAUUUUUUUUUUUGUCGAAACGAAACAAAGAAAAAAAAAGUCAUUAGAAAUUAGAAAAAAAAUUGAAUGAAUGAGAAAAAUGAGAAAUUGACGUAAUUAAAAAAAAAAUUUUAGUCGAAACGAAACAAAGAAAAAAAAGGAUCGUUAAGAAUUAGAAAAAAAAUUGAAUGAACUAAAAAAAAUGAGAUUGUGAUGUAAUUUGAUUUUUUAGAGUUAAUGAAAUAGAAAUAAAAACGAAGGUGGUGUCGACAUUACGUAUUGAAAAAGAAAUAAAAAAUGAAUGAAAAAAAUGAGAAAUUGUGAUGUAAUUCAAUUUUUUUUUGAGUUAAUGAAAUAUAAAUAAAAACGAAGGUGGUGUUGACAUUACGUAUUGAAAAAGAAAUAAAAAAUGAAUGAAAAAAAUGAAAAAUUGUGAUGGAAUUCGAUUUUCUUGGACUGAGGAAGCAAAAAGGAAAAAAAAGUAAGGUGUCAAUGUUACCAAUUCAAAAAACAAAACAACUUAAGGAAAAGAAAAAAUGCAAAUCUGAUUUUUUUAGUUGACGAAAACACCCACCCACACACACACACGCACGUACGCACACACCAACGCCCCGAGACACGCCCGCCACAUCUUAAAUAAAAGCACAUUAUAUAAAAACCUCUUCGCCGCUGGAAUCGCUACGCACGCAAGUCACGGAAACUCCGAUACAUUACAAUAGAGCUACGGAAUAAUAAUAAUAAUAAUAAUAAUAAUAAUAAUAAUAAUAAUAAUAACCUUUUUUUGUGCAGUCAACACGACACACGCCAACCAUUGGUCCAGGACUUGUCGGGUUUUGUUCGGUACAAAAGACGGAACGAAUCAUUGCUUUCAGGAGUGACACAAGUGUAGCUACAACUGUGGGGGGGAGCGCCGGCCAGGCCAAGACCCAGACCGAGCCCAGGCAGACAGACAGACCUCGCCUAAGUUGAGUAAACUGGAAAACUGAACUGACUCAAAACAGUGAGUCAUCAGCAGACAGACCUUGUAGCACUCGCCUAAGUUGAGUAAACAGGGAAACUGAACCGACUCAAAACAGUGAAUCAUUGACAAACAGAUCUCGCUGCACUCGCCUAAGUUGAGUAAACAGGGAAACUGAACUGACUCAAAACAGUGAGUCAUCAGCAGACAGACCUUGUAGCACUCGCCUAAGUUGAGUAAACUGGAAAAUUGAGUUGACUAAAAAAAGUGAAUCAUCAUCAAGAAAUGUCAAGAAAUGCCUCACAUCCAUAAAUACUUACAAUAGUCUGAGAUUUAAAUAGAUUUUUUUAGUAUAUAUCCAUUUUCAAAGUCAAGAGUAAAACAAUGUACCAAAAGAUUGUUUUAAAAUAUUGGGAACACUGUCCUUCAUAAGUGUUUCCUUACAGCAGCACAAGAAUUAAACAGAUUUUUUAAGUAGAUCCAUUUUCAAAGUCAAGAGUAAAACAAUGUACCAAAAAGUGUUUUAAAAUAUUGGGAACACUGUCCUUCAUAAGUGUUUCCUUACCCCAACACAAGAAUUAAACAGAUUUUUUAAGUAGAUCCAUUUUCAAAGUCAAGAGUAAAACAAUGUACCAAAAUGUGUUUUAAAAUAUUGGUAACACUGUCCUUCAUAAGUGUUUCCUUACAGCAGCACAAGAAUUAAACAGAUUUUAUAAGUACAUAGUUUUGUAUCAAUGUAUUUUCAGUUGUUCAUUCUGACAACUACACAUAUUUUUCAACUCAAACUUUCUGAGAACAACAUUUUUCUGCUUGCCUUCCAUAGAUAACCUCAAACUCACAUUAUAAUUUUUUCCUUUACUACGAAUGUCAAUAUCUCCCACACAUCAACUCUGAUCCCAAGCGUAACUAUUUCUUCACCUACGAACAGCUGUGUCGUGAAAUAACAAAAAUUACAUAGUCUGCCCUGAAUCAUUAGAGAAACUGCAAUAACACAGUGGAAAUAUCCGUAAUCAGUUUUCCCGAUGACCCACUUUUACAUUCACUUCAGCUUCCCCAAUUAACAUUUUUUUCUGAUUUUCCGAGGCGAGCAAAAAACACAACUGGCAACUCCGAGACUGUCCUGGCCGGCGCUCGCUCCCACACCUCCGUCGGACCAAGAGAAACAACUAUAUCACAGAAGGGUGAGGGGGGGGUGCAGGGGGAGGAGGAGGAGCAGGAGGAGGAGGAGGAGGAGGAGGAGGAGAUAACAUGUGAUUCUUUGCAUACCCCUAUGGCUAAAAAUUUUGAUGAACGUAAAAGUGAGAGAGAGAGCAAGAGCGAGAGCAAGAGAGAGAGAGAGAGAGAUCAAAAGCAAGAGAGAGAUAACAAAACCAGAUACAAAAGAUAUGCAAUGAAAGAGAGAGAGAGAGACAGAGCGAGAGAGAGAGAGAGGGAGAGAGAGAGACAUAACCCACAGACAGACAAAUUUACAGACAGACAGACAGACAGACAGACACCGAGAGGCACCAAUCGACUCCAGAGGCACUCGUAAAGGUGGAAUGACUCGAAGGAAGUGGAAUGUGGAGUGUUACGUAGGGAAGCCGACCUCUACGCACUGACACACGCACAAACUAACACACAGCAGAGGAGGGAUGGAUUGCGCUCGGAUGGUUGACUGACGGACGAACACACACGUCAGAGGAGAGAUGGUUGCUUUCGGAAUGUUAACUGACACACGAACACACGUCACGUAAACGCAAGAUUACGUUAAGAGGUUUAUACGUAUAUAUUCGAACUAAAAAAACUCAAACUCCCCAAAAAAUGAGAAAUUGUGAUGUAAUUUGAUUUUUUUUGAGUCGAAACGAAACAGAGAAUAAAAAAAAAGUGUCUUACGGAUUAGAAAAAAAAUAAAUGAGUGGAAAAAAAAGAAAUUGACGUAAUUCAAUUUUUUUUUUUGAGUUGACGAAAUAAAAAAAAAGUGCUGUCGAUGUUACGUAUUGAAAAAUAAAUAAAUAAUGAAUGAAAGAUAUGAGAAAUUGUGACGUAAUUUGACAUUUUUUUGAGUUGAUGAAGAAAAGAAAAAAAAGAAGGUGGUUUCGACAUUACGUAUCGAAAAAUGAAUAAAAAAUAAAUGAAAAAAAAAAUCCUAUUACUGGAACUCAAAACUUGAUAUUUUCGUCAUUUUUUCAAAACUCAAAACUGAAAAACGUCUCAUAAUUUUAAGUUGAAUUUUGAUUUUUAUAACUUAACUUCACAUCCUUAUUCCUCUGUAUAUCCUCUGCUGAGAGUACUAAUUGGGAUCAGUGCGUACAAACUGGUCAUCCCUUCUAGUUUUGGCUUCAAGAGAGAGAGAGAGAGAGAGAGAGAGAGAGAGAGAGAGAGAGAGAGAGAGAGAGAGAGAGAUGGAAUGAGUUUGUGCAUGAAUGAGAUUUGUGACGCUAGCCAACACACACACACACACACACACACACACACACACACACACAGGGUAAUAUAGCUAGACAGACAGACAGAGAUAGAGAGAGCGAGAGAGAGAGAGAGAGAGAGAGAGAGAGAGAGAGAGAGAGAGAGAGAGAGAGAGAGAGAGAGAGAGAGAGAGAGAGAGAGAGAGAGAGAGAGAGAGAGAGAA